GCAGGAGGUCAGGCUAGAUGAUCACAGUGGUCCCUUCUGGCUUUGGAAUGUGUAAAUCACCCCAUUUUUCAGAUGGGGAGCUGAGGCACAAGUCUGUGAAUUGAACCCAGAGCUGGGAAUUGAAUGCAGUCCCCCAUGCCUAAACCCCAGGACCACUUCUCCAGGAGGGGCUGUACAUAGAUACAUGGCACUCCCUCCUUAACUUCAACCACUACGUCGCCCUUCAUUUUUAAGGGCCUAACUCAGUCAAAACAUUGAUUCCAGGCUAACGCUUGUACAAAUGAUUGUAGGCAGAAAGCAAUUUUAUUUUACUCAACAAACCUAGCAAAGUGCAAAAAGGAGGGGAAAAAAAGGACAAAACCAAAUAGAAAUUAGUUUUCCUGCAGAUUCUCUGUAGCUGUUACAAAAUGAGUUUAUAUUUCUAAAAAGAAAAUUUUGCAGACCGCUGAGCCACAAUGCAGAGGAUAAGCGAGUUUGCUACUAAAUAAUCAUUCUAAACAAGAGUUAUUUAGGUUUUAAGAAAGCCAAAGCAGAUUACUGCACAGGGCUCUGAAAGGACUGUGAUAAUCUUUGUGCAUCAUUAAAGCAUAAACUGAAAAUAAUCCUUCAAUACUUAGGCCUGGAAACAAUAACCUAUAAUGGAGCCAUGAACAUUUAUUAUAGUAACCACCUGCAAAUGAGCACUAGCAUUGACCGGAGAGUCUAUAAUGCAAUUGUCUGGAUAACCUGAAUACCAUGAAGUGUCUAACUGGGCCUUGACUUCAGGCUCCAUAACAGCCUGAUCAUGAAACAUAAGAAACAUAAGAAUGACCAUACUGGGUCAGACCAAUGAUCCACCUAGCCCUGUGUCCUGUCUUCCAACAGUGGCCAAUGCCAGAUGCAUCAGAGGAAAUGAAACAGGACAAUUAUCGAGAGAUCUAUCUCUGUCGUUGAGUCCCAGCAUCUGGCAGGCAGAGGCUUUGCCUCUGUCCUUCGGAAAGGAUGUGUUUUAAUAACUCCUAAUUUUCGGUUAUUGGACAUUCUGAUCAAAGUCAUGCUGGAAUGGCCUAAUAAUGGGAUGACUUGGGAGUUUGUAAUAACUCCCAAUAUUUGACUUAUUUAAAGUCAAAGUUAUUUAGGCAUCUAACUGCCGUUGAUUUCAACGAGGUGCCUAAAUAUCUCUGAGAUCAUGGGCUAGUUCUUUCUCUACCUGAAGUCAGUGGGACUAACUAGCCAUGUAUCUAUGCAUGUGGGUACUUCUAUCAGGUCUAUCCCUAGGGUAUCUGAGCUCCUAAGGGCAAAUUUUCCACUCAUGCAAACUAGUGUUAAACUCCUGAACCUGUCAAGUGCAGAGCCCCCUCAAGUCCCAUUGACAGCCCUAAAUGAAUCAGACCAAGAAUAAACACCAGAUUGCCUGUUUUAGAUAUUCAUAGAUUAUGUUUAGCACCAUUGUAGCGAGGUGCGGAUGCAGAAAGGAAUCUUAGAAAUGUAUGCUUGUUUCAGCAUUAAGCAAAUGUCUUUAUUUCCUUUUCAUCUUUAUUCCAGCGUCAGUGUUAAAAAUUCUUGUCUUGAGAUAUUCAGACAGCUUAGGUGGUAUCACUUAGCAACACUUACCAGUAGGUUUAUUGUUGCCCAUUUUACCGUGGCCUUAUUUGCCUUCCCUUGCAGCAUUGUAAGAAGAAGGAAGUGCUGCGGCUAAACUAAACAGCACAGGCCCACAACGUGCUGAGCGCUUCCUGCAAAAUACUCGGCACCCUGAAACCCCGCUGGAGUCAAUGGGAGUUGAGGCCCCCUAGUGGCUUGGAAGAUCAGCCCUUUUGAGCGCCGUUCAGGUGAAACAACUAUUCCAAGUGAUUUAGUUGGGAAUUAGGUCCCACUUUGAGCAGGGGGUUGGACUAGAUGACCUCUGGAGGUCCCUUCCAACCCUGAUAUUCUAUGAUUCUAAGUGGAUUUCGUGCUAGUUACAGGUGCUCUUCAGUGCAGACAGCAAAGAUGGAAGCUCCUUCCAUCCACCUCCAUCAAUGUGCUUUGACCCUGGUGUGGAGGGACCAUUUCCCAGGCUGAGGCAGGGAGUUGGGGGAUUGUUUGAACAACAAGAAACUACACAAGGACACUUUUUUAUGUUUUAAGGGAUAAACAGGCGAGACACAGGGAGUAACUCAUUCUAACUAGUAAGUUCCCUUAGAAACAGCACAAAAUAUGACAGGCUGAUGUGAUAGUGCAAACUGUAUGCAGCAGUUCCUGGCAAGAGACAGGUGAUUAGCAUUGGCUCAAGGCAGUCUGUCACUGUGCAAGCUUCCCCUCCUUUCCACACACACAGAGUGUGUCUGCUCUGUGUUGUACAGUUGCACUUCGGAGUUAGAAACACCUUGGGAAAGAAGGUUGUUCAGAACUCUGAAAGGUUCGUAACUUUGAACAGAAUGUUACGGUUGUUCUUUCAAAAGUUUGCAACUAAACAUUGACUUAAUACAGCUUUGAAACUUUACUAUACAGAAUCAAAAUGCUGCUUUCCAAUUUUUUUUUUUUGUUUGUAGUUUACAUUUAUUUAAUUUUUUUUUAAUUUUGUCUCUGCCACUACCCAAUUGUGUGCUUCUCAGUUCCAAAUGAGGUGUGUGGUGGACUGGUCAGUUCCUAACUCUAGUGUUCACAACUCUGAGCUUCUACUGUAUCUAAUAUUAAUUGAAUAGACACAUGGGGCAAGUAGAUAUAAUGCAUGCUAGUGAACAAUAGAGGGCAUUCAGGAGAAUUAAGGAGAACUUUGCUAGAGCUCUUUAUUUACACUUUGUGAGUGUGCUACAACAAAUGACGAGAUCUAACCCUACUGAGUGCUUCCUAAGUUCUUGUCAAAAAUGCAGUAUUCUCCCAGUGCCCUUCAGUCCAGGCCUGGAGUAUCCAUUACUGUUGUAAUCAUCCAAUUUUUCCAAUGCACCUCAGUCCUGAUCUACCACUGACUAGUCUAACAAUAUCUCUCUUGAGCAAACAGUGACUAUGGUCUAAUUCUUGGCCAGCACCUACAUACUGUGGAAAUUGGAGCCAUAUACGCAUCUGAGAGAGACUGAGAAAACAGACGCUAACCCAUGGCAUCAACUGGACGUGUGGCAUCAGAUCAGCAAUUUAUCUAUGUGCCAGAAUGCAUCUAGAAAUGACUAUUGAUUUUGCUUGUUAAAAUAGACUCUGUAAUGUUACAAUAAAAUACAUCAUGACAGGG